AGUACGGCUGCAAGGUUAAAAGUCAAAUGAAUAGACGGGGGCCCGCACAAGCGGUGGAGCAUGUGGUUUAAUUCGAUGCAACGCGAAGAACCUUACCUGGUCUUGACAUCCACAGAACUUUCCAGAGAUGGAUUGGUGCCUUCGGGAACUGUGAGACAGGUGCUGCAUGGCUGUCGUCAGCUCGUGUUGUGAAAUGUUGGGUUAAGUCCCGCAACGAGCGCAACCCUUAUCCUUUGUUGCCAGCGGUUCGGCCGGGAACUCAAAGGAGACUGCCAGUGAUAAACUGGAGGAAGGUGGGGAUGACGUCAAGUCAUCAUGGCCCUUACGACCAGGGCUACACACGUGCUACAAUGGCAUAUACAAAGAGAAGCGACCUCGCGAGAGCAAGCGGACCUCAUAAAGUAUGUCGUAGUCCGGAUUGGAGUCUGCAACUCGACUCCAUGAAGUCGGAAUCGCUAGUAAUCGUAGAUCAGAAUGCUACGGUGAAUACGUUCCCGGGCCUUGUACACACCGCCCGUCACACCAUGGGAGUGGGUUGCAAAAGAAGUAGGUAGCUUAACCUUCGGGAGGGCGCUUACCACUUUGAUCAGGGCC
rnacentral:rRNA from 1 species